rnacentral:rRNA from 1 species
AUUGAACGCUGGCGGCAGGCCUAACACAUGCAAGUCGAGCGGAUGAGUGGAGCUUGCUCCAUGAUUCAGCGGCGGACGGGUGAGUAAUGCCUAGGAAUCUGCCUGGUAGUGGGGGACAACGUUUCGAAAGGAACGCUAAUACCGCAUACGUCCUACGGGAGAAAGUGGGGGAUCUUCGGACCUCACGCUAUCAGAUGAGCCUAGGUCGGAUUAGCUAGUUGGUGAGGUAAAGGCUCACCAAGGCGACGAUCCGUAACUGGUCUGAGAGGAUGAUCAGUCACACUGGAACUGAGACACGGUCCAGACUCCUACGGGAGGCAGCAGUGGGGAAUAUUGGACAAUGGGCGAAAGCCUGAUCCAGCCAUGCCGCGUGUGUGAAGAAGGUCUUCGGAUUGUAAAGCACUUUAAGUUGGGAGGAAGGGCAGUAAGUUAAUACCUUGCUGUUUUGACGUUACCAACAGAAUAAGCACCGGCUAACUUCGUGCCAGCAGCCGCCGUAA